rnacentral:RNase_P_RNA from 1 species
CGAGUCGGUCAGGCGAUCGCUUCGCCGUCAGCUUCGGCUGCGGGCGGGGAGGAAAGUCCGGGCUCCAUAGGGCAGGGUGCCAGGUAACGCCUGGGGGGCGCGAGCCUACGGAAAGUGCAACAGAAAGGAUACCGCCUGGCUACUUCGGUGGCCCGGUAAGGGUGAAAUGGUGCGGUAAGAGCGCACCGCGCGGCUGGCAACAGGCGCGGCGAUGGUAAACCCCACUCGGAGCAAGACCAAAUAGGAAUCCAUACGCUGCGGCCCGCAGUGGAUUCGGGUAGGUCGCUACAGGCAGGCGGUGACGCCUGUCGCAGAUGAAUGAUCGUCCACGACAGAACCCGGCUUAUCGACCGACUCAACUU